AUAAUUGUUUUUUUUUAAAAAUUAAAAAUUAAUUUAAAAAUGAAAAAGUUUUUAUGUAUUAAUGGGACAAGAAGACCCUAUGAAUCUUAAUUAUUUUUAAAAUUAAAAAUUAUUUUAAUAUAAUUUAAUUGGGGCGAUUGAAAAAGAAUAUUUAUCUUUAUUUUGAAUUUAUUUUUUAAAUAUGGGAAAAGAUACUCUAGGGAUAACAGCGUUAUUAUUUUGGAUAGUUCAUAUUGAUAAAAUAGUUUGCGACCUCGAUGUUGAAUUAAUGAACCUUUUAAAUGAAGUUAUUUAGAAAGGUAGAUUGUUCCUCUAUUAAAUCAUUACUUGAUCUGAGUUCAGACCGGA
rnacentral:rRNA from 1 species